rnacentral:rRNA from 1 species
CCCCUAGAUGUUCUGGGCCGCACGCGCGCUACACUGAACAGUUCAACAAGUCUUAACCUUGGCCGAUAGGUCUGGGUAAUCUUUGAAUGCUGUUCGUGACUGGGAUAGACCUUUGCAAUUAUGGGUCUUCAACGAGGAAUUCCUAGUAAACGCAAGUCAUCAGCUUGCAUUGAUUACGUCCCUGCCCUUUGUACACACCGCCCGUCGCACCUACCGAUUGAAUGGUCCGGUGAAAUCUCGGGACGGCGGCUUGGUCGCUUGCGUCCGACUGCUGAAACUUGAUUAAACCAUAUCAUUUAGAGGAAGGUGAAGUCGUAACA